AUGAUUGAGUCAAUAAUUUGUAAACUGAACAUAAUUUAUGUUGCCCCAAAUGAGAUACCACAGGCAAAAGAUCGGUUAAUAUCAAAUUCUGAUUACUAUUAUGAUAUGUCUUACUCGGUGGCAUGUUCCACAUUUGCAAAUUUGCCAGCAGAAAAUGAUGAUGCAGAAGACAGUGAUGCAACUUCAAAUAUAUCUUGUGAAGAGGGGAAACCAGUGGCUGAUCUUGUGACAUACAGUCUGCUCGAUCUAUAUUCAGGGUGUGGGGCUAUGUCAACAGGGCUCUGCCUUGGUGCAGAAUUGGCUGGCAUAAAACUAGAAACUAUAUGGGCUGUGGACAUGAACUCACAUGCUUGUGAGAGCCUAAAGCAUAACCACCCUUCAACACAGGUACGAAAUGAGAAGGCUGAAGAUUUCCUAUCCCUCCUUCAACAGUGGAAUGCACUCUGUAAGAAAUAUGUCAUCCACGGCAGCAAUUCUUUGGGCUCUGAUCUAGCUCAGGCAUCAAACGAUGAUGGAAAUGAUGAAAACGAAUCUCUACCAAAGGAUGUAUUUGAGGUAGAGAGGCUUGUUGAUAUAUGCUAUGGCGAUCCAAAUAAGACUGGAAAAAAUGGCUUAUGGUUUAAGGUUCGGUGGAAAAAAUAUGAUGCUAGUCAAGAUACAUGGGAGCCAAUUGAUGGUCUGAGCUAUUCCUAUGAGUGCAUUAAAGAAUUUGUUCAGAGUGGAUAUAGGGAUUCCAUUCUGCCUUUGCCUGGCUCUGUGGAUCUUAUUUGUGGGGGUCCUCCCUGCCAAGGCGUUAGUGGAUUCAACAGAUUCAGAAAGCCUGAUGAUCCGCUGACGGAUGAAAAGAACAAGCAAUUGGUUGUCUUUAUGGAUAUUGUGAAAUAUCUGCGACCUAAAUAUGUUCUUAUGGAGAACGUUGUAGACAUCUUGAAAUUUGCAGAUGGGUUCCUCGGCCACUAUGCAUUGAGUCGCCUUGUCUCUAUGAACUACCAGGCCAGGCUUGGGGUGAUGGUUGCGGGUUGUUAUGGGCUGCCGCAGUUUAGGAUGAGGGCAUUUAUCUGGGGAGCUCUUCCUUCCAUGGUUCUUCCGAAAUUCCCACUUCCCACCCAUGAUGUUAUUAAGCGAGGACUAGUGCCAAAUGCAUUUUUGCGGUGUCUCGUUGCUUAUGAGGAAACAGCAAAUAAAUACUUGAAAAAAGCUCUUGUCCUCGAAGAUGCAAUAUCUGAUUUACAGGAGGUUCAAAACAAUCAGCCUAAUGAUGUCAUGGAGUAUGGCAGUGACCCCAAAACAGAGUUCCAACGCUAUAUCCGGCUUAGCAGUAAAGGUGUGACCAGGGAGUUAAUGUCAGCAAGCAGUCCCGUUGGGUCAUAUACCUGCAUACUGAGAUGGAUGAUUCUGAAUAAACACCUAUCAUAA
rnacentral:rRNA from 1 species